GGGGGAGGGGGCCAGGGCGCAGGCCUGUGCGGCAGCUCGCUGAGGUUGAGGGACAGCGAUGUCUUCUUGGUGGCCGCCUUUCCGUUUUCAAAAAUGUCAUCAGCUAUCCACCUUUGGAUUUUGUCAGCGGGACCUGGUCCGUUUGGGACCCCUGGAGUCAGGUGCUCUUGCACCCCUGCGCCCCAGUGACAGGCUGCUUCCUGGGACCCAGCGCACCUGAGUGCCAGGCAAGACGAAGGCUGAAAAGUGCAAGAACGGCACCUGCUCGACAAAUAUUUGUCCAAAUCUUCCAUCUUCUGCCUCCACAACAGCCUUUUGCCAUGAGAC